rnacentral:sRNA from 1 species
AAUAGAAGUCGUGCAUUUACUGAAAGAUUGAAUCUUUUUACAACAAAAAAAGCUCGCAAUUGCGUGUUAAAUAUUUUUUUGAAAUUCUAAAUUUAUAUCUCUAAAAUUUUGUUUACACCACAAGUAAAAUCUGUAUAAAUUCGUAAUAUUUUCAUCCCUUGCAGAAAGUCACGAUGAAAUGUUUACAGUUGAUGCGCUAAGCUGUCGAUCAAAAGGCUGAGCUAGCAAUAUUUACUUUUUGGACCGCCUGAAAUGAUUAAAUCAACGGUAAUUUUGAGCAAAAUUGAGCAAAAUGAGCUGUAGCGUCUCUUAUAUAUAAAUAUUUCAUCUCCUUAACUUUUUGAAACGCUUAGAAAUAUAUUUGACCACUCUUUACAAUCGAAUCGUACAUUCUACAAAAGAAAAAGAACAACAACUAUGCGAGAUUGAGAUCAUGCAUGCAUAUGUACUACCUACAUGUAACAUUAGGCGUUUUUACGCAUGUACGAUUUUUUAAUAUGAAAAAACUUAACUGUUCAAAAGUUUUUAUUGAUUAUAUAUCAUAAGUUUUAGUAUAUAUUGUGAAUAAUUAGGUAUAGUAUUAACUAACAAAAUAUUUUUUGUUUGUAAUUUGUUUUUGCAUAUUCUAUAAAAGAGCAUGAAUAUGUUAGCAAAGUAGUUUCUGACCUGUAGUAUUUAGUAUUGCAAACUCUUAAUUGAUACUCUAAACCUUCUAUACCUUAAAAUUUG